rnacentral:rRNA from 1 species
UUGACCUCAAAUCAGGUAGAACUACC